AUGUGGUUUGGUUUACCUCUUGUCACUCCUGUUGUGCUGAUAUCUGGUCCGUGGACCUGCAAGUACUCCUGGAGUAGUCUAGAGUUAAAAAAGAAGGGAUGUCUCCUGAAAGGGCCGGGCAGAGCAAGACUUUUACUAUUUCUACCCUACAUACCACCUUUUGUUGAAGAAGAUCUGAAAGGCCAUUUCAUUUCGCAUCCUGCCUUGAAUAAGAUGCGGUUGUCCGGCCACAGCCGGGCAUCGGUUCAUCGCCGGAAAGCGGCGGCCUUGGACUACGCGCCGCCGGAGCACGGCCGAAGCAAGCUGCACUUUGGCCCCGCCGCCGCGCGCGUGCGAGCGCCCGUGCCGUGGCAAUGA
rnacentral:rRNA from 1 species